CUCUCUCUCUCUCUCUCUCUCUCUCUCUCUCUCUCUCUCUCUCUCUCUCUCUCUCUCUCUCUCUCUCUCUCUCUCUCUCUCUCUCUCUCUCUCUCUCUCUCUCUCUCUCUCUCUCUCUCUCUCUCUCUCUCUCUCUCUCUCUCUCUCUCUCUCUCUCUCUCUCCUAGGUGUGUUGGUGGUGAAGCUGGCAGCAGGUGUGUUGCAUGAUAAUUAGCAGAUGAGCUGCAGGUGGGAGCUGAGUAACUAGUCCUUGGGUGUCUCCAUAAAAGCAGACCGCACCUGUCAUUCAAAGCUGGACCGUUGUCUAUUCUCCAGUCAGUACGUGAAGUUGACUCCUACCUGCUGGUUCUGGGAUCUUCUAGCCUGCUGGUCCUCCCCUCUGCCUUGGAUUCUGUUCUGACGGAGGAUUCCACCUCUCGCCAGCUUCGUCCUGGGAAACACAGGCUUCAUCUGGACGGAACACUCUGGGAGAAAUGCCUACCUUCUAUGAACUCUUGGACGCCUACAACCUUCCACGUGUUGAGUUCCUGAAAAGGGAGAGAGCUGAGAGAAGCCAGGCCAAGGACUGAAUUCCUACUUGUCAAGUUUCCAAGCCCUGGUAUAACAUUUGGUACGUUGAAGUUUACAAUCUGCGUUCUGUACUUAAUAUUAUUUAUUUUAUAUUCUGCAUAAAAUAAUUUUUAGUCUGGGGAUUUCUGUUCAGGAUUAGUUAGAGUCUAGGCUGGUUAGGGUUUUUGUAUUUUCAGUUGUUCUCCUGCCUUGGUUAUACUAUACGUGGGUUAACAUAGUUUAAGUUCUCAUCCUUGUGUAGUUAUCCUCCGUACCACUAGAUGGUUUCUGGUUUUCUUGGUUUAGUUUAGUUCCUGAGUUGGAGUUCUAUUUCAGGUUCUUGUAUUUAUCAUCUUGUUGUAAAUAAAGCAUUGCUAAAAUGUC